rnacentral:rRNA from 1 species
UACGUAGGGUGCGAGCGUUGUCCGGAAUUAUUGGGCGUAAAGAGCUCGUAGGCGGUCUGUCGCGUCGGUCGUGAAAACUUGGGGCUUAACCCUGAGCUUGCGGUCGAUACGGGCAUGACUGGAGUUCGGCAGGGGAGACUGGAAUUCCUGGUGUAGCGGUGAAAUGCGCAGAUAUCAGGAGGAACACCGGUGGCGAAGGCGGGUCUCUGGACGAUAACUGACGCUGAGACGCGAAAGCGUGGGGAGCAAACAGG